rnacentral:rRNA from 1 species
GGGUUGACAGGCCAGAUAUGGAAGCACAGUAAUGUGUGGAGUUGACUGGUGCUGAUAGGCCGAGGACUUGUUCA